CCACCACCCAUAUAGAUUUUGAUUUGAAUGACAACCGCCUUACUGUAUAAAGGUCUUAUAACUAUUUGAGGGUUAUAAACUGGAAAGAUUCGCCGUCAUGCAUGUUGUUGCUUAGCCUAAUCUUUCUUAGUUCUCCAUCGCUGAUAGGCUUGUAUAGACGUGGAUGUUCAGCAUCCACAAAUUCACUUGGAGGCUCAACAACUUCAUCCAUUGGUGUUAAUAGGAAGGUGGAGGUGGUAAUCCUCAUUUUUGCUUCUUUGCAUUGCACUCUAUGCUUCACAUUGCACAUCCUCCCAUUGCUCCAUAUCUAUUAACAAAGUUUCAAAAACCAACAGCUAAAACCGAGUUUUUGUGGUUUAAAGUCAAAAACAUUAUUGAACUAUUAGUGAUGAUUUUUUUCUCUUACCUUAGCCAUGUCACCAAGGUUGACAGUAAGUGUGUUUGGUGACGUGUUUAUGGGGUAAUAGGUUCCUGAAGAAUGGUCCAUGGCCUCAAGUCCACCAACAUUGUCAUCACCGUGAACAAUUGUUAAAAAUCCAGGAUCCGUGUGUGUUAUCAAACCAUUUUUACCAACUUUUUCAGGAUUGAAAUGAUAUUUGCUAAUCCGAAACUGGCUCGGCCAUUCUUUGCAUAUAUCGGGAUCCGCUAACUCAUAACUCCUUGCUAACAUCCUUGUUAAAUCUUUUGCAAGACCAUCCAUAGCUUUGCCAUACUUCACCAUGAUCUCUCUACAACCAAAAAAAAAAAAAAAUCCCAUCCUAAACCGGAUAUUUAUUUAACAAAAACAUUGAACCGAAAAGCGGAUUAGGUACACACAUAACAAGAAUCCUUGGAGGCAAAAAGAAUAAAAACAAACAGGAAAAUCGCAUAAAAAACCUUCAAGGUGGCAGCCACUUGCACUUUAAACUUUGAAAGUAUUUCACAAGCACUUUAAAUCUUCAAAGUGACACUUUUAUCAAAAGAAACUUCCAAUCUGGCUUACUUGUACAUCAAGUCAAAAUGGUAACCGGUACUGUUCAAAAACGAUGAUGUGUCGGUUUUAUUUUUUAUCUUUUUUUAAAAAAAUUAUUUCAUUAAUAAAAUAAAUAUUAAAAUAAAGAAAAUAUAAAAAUUCAUAAAAAAAUUCAAAACAAAUCAUAAAAAUCACUAAAAAUUCACAAAAAAAUCAAAAUAUUCACCAAAAAAAAUUUAAAUUCUGUUAUUCAUAAAAUUAAUAUAAAAAUACAAAAGUAUACAAAAAUUCAUAAAAAAAUUGAAAAUAAAUCAUAAAAAGUCAAUAAAAUUCACAAAACUUCAUAAAAUUCACAAAAAAUAUUUUAAAUUAAAUAUAAAAAUAAUCAUAAACUUUUACAAAAAUAAAAGAUUCACAACAAUAUUUAUAUUAUUUUAUUAAUAAAGUAAGUAUAAAAUACAGAAAAUAUAAAAAAUCAUUAAAAAUUUGAAACAAAUCACAAAAAUUCACAAAAAUCAAGAAUAAAAUUAUAUGUGGUUUUAUAAAAGCGACUAAGGAAUAACGUGCAUUGAGUGCUAUAAACUGGCUACCCUCAAGCUAUCAUUAGUAUACAUUCUUCCCUUUAACAAUCCUGAACUUUUUCAAAUCCAACCAACACACACAUAGAACAUAACAGAUUAAAAAACCAAAAUAGCAGUCAGUCUCCGGGUUAUGAUUACUCUAAUUCAGAUUAGAAAAACUCAUUAUUUUAUAUUUAUUUUAUUAAUCAUAACCCAGAGACUGACUGAAUUUUUCUAAUCUAAAUCAGAGUAAUCAUAACCCAUACUACUAUUUUGGAUAUUUUUUAAUAUGUUAUGUUCUAUGUGUGUUGGUUGGAUUUGGAAAAGUUCAGGAUUGUUAAAGGGAAAAAUGUAUACUAAUGAUAGCUUGAGGGUAGCCAGUUUAUAGCACUCAAUGCACGUUAUUCCUUAGUCACUUUUAUAAAACCACAUAUAAUUUUAUUCUUGAUUUUUGUGAAUUUUUGUGAUUUGUCCCAAUUUUUUAAUGAUUAUUUAUAUUUUGUGUAUUUUAUACUUAUUUUAUUAAUAAAAUAAUAUAAAUAUUGUUGUGAAUCUUAUAUUUUUGUAAAAUUUUAUGAUUAUUAUUAAAUUAUUUUAUUAAAUUUUUUUGUGAAUUUUAUGAAUUUUUGUGAAUUUUAUUGACUUUUUAUGAUUUGUUUUGAAUUUUUUAUGAAUUUUUUAUAUUAUUGUAUUUUUAUAUUUAUUUUAUUAAUAAAAUAAUUUAAAAAAUUUUGGUGAAUAAUUUGAUUUUUUGUGAAUUUUUAGUGAUUUUUAUGAUUUUUUUGAAUUUUUAUGAUUUUUAUAUUUUCUUUUUUUAAUAUUUAUUUUAUUAAUAAAAUAAUUUUUUUAAAAAAAUAAAAAAAAUAAAACCGACACGUCAUCGUUUUUGAACAGUACCGGUUACCGUUUCGACUUGAUGUUUAAGUAAGUCAGGUUGGAGAUUUCUUUUGAUAAAAGUGUCACUUUGAAUGUUUAAAGUGCUUGUGAAAUACUAUCAGGGUUUAAAGUGUAAGUGACUGCCACCUUGAAGGUUUUUUAUGCGAUUUUCCCCAAACAUAUAGGAACAGAGAAAUACUAUUUGCUAUUUAAAUAUAGAGAAAAUAGAGAUUACUAUUUUUGUAAAAAAAAAAUGCUUUGAAGUAGAGUUAUUAUAUAGUUAAAUAUAGAGAUGCACUAGAAUGUUAUAAACGACAGUCAUAUAAGAGUGAAAAGCAAACGAACCUUUGUUCAGCAGAUGCCUCAAGUUUGUCACAAAAAGUGUUAAUCGCUUGUGGAGAGGCGACGUCAAAAAGACCGAACGAUUCAUAAAGAGGAUUUAACUCACUUCUAGGCUUGUAACCACUUGAUAGUAUCACAUCAGUGUUUCGUAUUUUCACCUCGUGUGGACGUUCAUGGAGAUCUGUAACAGUCUUCUUCAUCUCAGACAACAAAGACGAAGAAACUCCAUGGUUGAUCACCUUGAAACAUCCCCAUCUCUCACUCGCCUCACGUAUCCGCUGGUUCAGCUUCUCAUCCGGAACCCCUUUCAAGUCUAUUGUCGGAAUGACUUCAUUGAGAUCAGCCAUUAUGUUUUCUCUCAGUAAGUAUAUAUAUGAUAGGUAUUGUUUUCUUUGUCUUCAGGACAAGCCAUUGCACAAACUUAAAUAGAAGACCAUCCUCCGCGAGAAGGACGUAAUUAAUGAUGUACAGGAUUUGCCUUCUGCACCAAAAAGAUUUAUUUGUCUGAUCUCUUUCCUAAUCUAAUCAGUGAGGUAGUUGGAUUCGUGAUGGGACUUUCAGCAAAUCAGAGGAAAAAUGUUUAUAAAUCUGUAUGAUCGUAACUAAAUGAUGAAUAAGUGUCCAAAAAAGGGAAGAACGUGAAACACGUUACAGAUAAUAAUAUCCCACUAGAUAAUAACCGUGCUUUGUGCAGACUGUGAUUAUUAGUUUUUUUAUUUUUAAUAAAAAAAUAUUAAAUCUAUUUAAUUUGGAUAUUGGUUCGGUUUAAAAAUUUUUUUUUUUUGGUUUUCAAUUUUUAAAAUAUAACUAUUAUUUUUAAUUAAUAUUCAUUUUAGUUUAUUCGGUUAAAAUGUUUGAUUUUUUGGUAUUUUCUAAUAAAAACCAAAAAUUAAUAUUAUUUUUUAUUUUCAUGUUAUGAAUUUUAGAUAGUCAUCAUGUCGAACCAAUAGUUUCAUAUUAUAGUUUUUAAACAGAUACUAAUUUAAUUAAAAAAAAAACUAUUAAGACAAAUCAUUUCACUACAAUUUGGUCGAUAGUGAAAGAAGCAUUAAAAAAAAUAUUUCAACUUUCGAAAAACUAGAUACUUCAGUUGUGGUGAAUACUUAGUUACAAGAUGCUCACAUCAAAAAGUACAUGUAUGUGUAUGUAAAAAGUAUAUAAAAAUAGUUGACAAAUAUAUAAAUAUAUUGUUAAUUAAUAUUAAAUGAUAUUUUUGUUCAAAAUAAUACAUGAAAGAUAAAAUUAAAAUUAAUUUAAAAUAAAAAAGGCCUUGACAUUUGUCAUUUUUCAUAUAAAGAAAAUAAAAUUGUAUUCGUAAAUAGGGGUGAGCACAUAUCGAAUAUCUGGGUAUUUGAAAACAUUCGUGUUGAUUCGAUCUUUAGCCACCUAGAUAUUCGGUGACUCGAAUAUACGAAAUGUUUUAGAAUUUUAAGGAAUAUCCGAUUUGAUCCGCAAAUAAAACAAAAUUUUAAAAUAAUUGAAAAUUUUAAUAAUAACAAUUUCUUACAAAAUAAAGCAUUAUUUAAUUUUUUUAAUUCUAGUACCUAAUAUAAUAUAUUUAAUUCAUACAAAUAUUGUAAAUUUGAUAAAAAGUAUAAUAUAUAUAACAUAUAUAUAUAUAUAUAAUUCUUUACAUAUAUGUAUAUAUAUGCAUAUAUCAGAUCGAAUUAAAUAUAUGUUCUUAAAAAUAUUGGUAUUUGUGAUUUGCUUCUUUUUUGGUUAUUAUAUUUUAGUAUUUAUUUGUUUCGUAGAUUUACGGAUAUCCAGAUUUUUUUUGUUCAAAGCAAAACGGAUAACGAAUCGAAUCAAAAUUUAUGAAUAUUCUGCUCAACUUUAUUCGUAAACAAAUAAAAAUAAUAUAUAUAUAAUUUGGCUUUUGAUUCAUUAUCUAUUUUUAUUCGAACCGAAACAUCCAGAGUUCUAUUAGAACCAUGUAUGUGAGUUUUAUACUAUAAAAGUGCAAAAUACAUAGUGUGAACAUAUUUAUGAAUAUAGUGUGUAAGCGUUAGCAUACUUAUUAUCAAAUCAUUGUGAAGUAUCACAUGUUUAUUAUAGUGUGAAUGCAUUUAUUACAAUGCUUUUCUUUUAAUAUAUACUAGGUAAUAAUUCACGCCUUGCACAGAAUGUGAUUAUUAGUUUCGUUAUUUUUAAUAAAAAAACAUUAAAUCUGUUUAAUCUGGAUAUUGGUUCGGUUUUAAUUUUUUUUCUCGUUUUUAAUCUUCUAAAAUAUAACUAUUAUUUUAAAUUACUAUUUAUUUUAGUUUAUUCUAUUAAAAUGUUUAAUUUUUUGGUUUUUUCGGGUAAAAACUAAAAACUAAUAUUAUUUAUUUAUUUUCAUGUUAUGAAUUUUAGAUAGUCGUCAUGUGGAACCAAUAGUUUCAUAUUAUAGUUUCUAAACAGAUACUAAUUUAAUUAAAAAAAAAAUUAUUAAGACAAAUCAUGUCACUACAAUUUGGUCGAUAGUGAAAGAAGCAUUAAGAAAAAAUAUUUCAACUUUCAAAAAACUAGAUACUUCAGUUGUGGUGAAUACUUAGUUACAAGAUGCUCACAUCAAGGUGCACAUGCAUGUGUAUGUAAAAAGUUUAUAAAAAUAGUUGACAAAUAUAUAAAGAUAUUGUUAAUUAAUAUUAUAUACCAUUUUUGUUCAAAAUAAUACAUGAAAGAUAAAAUUAAAAUUAAUUUAAAAUAAAAAGGCCUUGACAUUAGUCAUUUUUCAUAUAAAGAAAAUAAAAUUGUAUUCAUAAAUAGGGAUGGGCACAGAUCGAAUAUAUGGGUAUUUGGAAGCAUUCAGGUCGAUUCGAUCCUUAGCCACCUAGAUAUUCGGUGAGUCGGAUAUCCGAAAUGUUUUAGAAUAUCGAUUUGAUCCAUAAAUAAAAUAAAAUUUUAAAAAUAAUUGAAAAAUUUAAUAAUAACAUUUUAUUACAAAAAUAAAACAUUAUUUAAUUUUCUAAAUUCUAGUACUAAUAUAAUAAAUUUAAUUCACAAAAAUAUUGUAAAACUGAUAUAAAGAAUAAUAUAUAUAACGUAUAUAUAUAUAUAUAUAAUUCCUUACAUAUAUAUAUAUAUGCAUUUAACAGAUCGAAUUAGAUAUGUGUUCCUAAAAAUAUUGGUAUUUGUGUUUUGCUUAUUUUUUUGGAUAUUGUAUUUUAGUAUUUGAUUUGUUUCGUACAAAUAUCUAUAUUUUUUUGUUCAAAUCAAAACGAAUAAUGAAUCGAAUCAAAAUUUAUGAAUAUUUUGUUCAACUUUAUCUGUAAACAAUAAAAAUAAAUGACGUUGCUAUAUUUAUUUUUCACAAUAAAUAUUGAAAUAGAUUAAAGAAAGUUAUCCCCCUAUUAACUAUUUCACAGGGAAUUUUAUAUUGUAAUAAGGUAAGUCAUUACAAACGAAUUAAGAAUUUAGAAACAUUAAGGUAAAUUGGCAUUUAAAAUUUUAAUAAAUGUGAUAAUAACUUGGGCAUGAAAUGUUUAAAAUAAAUAAAGUAACUUACAUUUAAACUAUUCAUAAGUUACUUUGCAACUUGCGCAAGAAAAAAAAAUUAUUCAUAAGUUACUUUGCAAAAUAAAUAAGGUAACUUACCUUUUAACUAUUCAUAAGUUAUUUUAAAAUUCUGAUAAAUUUAUUCUUUAAACAACGAUAAAUAAUUUAAAAAUAAUAUUAAUAAACAUGUUUGGAUUUUAUUAUAUUUAAAAUAGUUAUUAUAUAAUUAUAUUUGAAUACAAUUUAUCAAGUAGAGUAUAAAACUAUUAUAAUUAUCUUAUAUAAAAUUUCGUUCAUUAUAUUUUAUAGUUUAUAAAUAUUGAAAGUGAUAAAUAAAACAUUAUUAAUCUUUAUACAAUUUCGAGAAUUAGUUUCCAUAAAUUGUUAUUUGUAAUAUUCUUUAUAUUAUAUGGCAAGUGAUGUUAAAUGAUUUUAGACUUACCUUAAAUUUUUAAAUCUAAAUUAAAUAAAUAAAAAUUAAGAACAAUCGACCAAUCAAAUUAUAACAAUUAAAUUGAAACUUCACCUAUGAGCGACACAUCACCAUAAAUUACUAAAGUGACUUCUCUUUUAAUAUAUAUGGGAUGAUUUAUAUAGUUCCCUUUCUUCCAUUAACUAAAGUGUAAAAGCGAAAACUUUACUCUUUAACCUUUUGAAAUCUAUCUGAGCUCGGAGAAUUCUCCGGUAAAUAUCGUCGGUGCGGUUACGAUCGAUUGUCACUAGUCGAUGCUCGUCAGAGAGACGAAUUAGCUGAUGGUACCGAUGAGUCAACUCGCGAGUCGUAAUUAGGAAACUCGGUAAUCUAGAGAAGAUGAGCACGUGACUAGCACGUGGAAAAUUUAAUACUUUAUCUUUAUAAUUAAGCCCUUCAACUAUUGAUUAGAUUUGAUUAUGUUCCCCCAUGAUACAAUUAUAGUAUUCAACUACCACACGGGAUGAUUAAUUGCCAAGUUUUUAGAAUAUAAAGUAGGGUACAAUUGAAAAAUAACUUUGUACUUUAUAACAUGAGCCAAUAUGGAAACCAUAAAACAAUCAUGUAAUUUUGAAAAGCAUAUCCAUAUUUUUGUAGCUCGAAAAAUUAGUAUAAAUAAUCUACUCUAUUAAUUUAAAGUCCUACUUUUUAUCUACUUAAAAAUAUUGUCAUUUAAAUUUGGACUUAUUCACAUUUCAUUAGCAAUAGAUAUAACAUCCCUUAUAAUUUAGUUAUACAAUAUAUAUUUCAUUUAUGCAUUAUCUAAUAUAUAUAUAUAGAAACUUAUUUGGGAUCAAACUGUUAUAUAAGUCUCAAGAAAAAAAAUUAAGUGUUUUUUUUGUCGACAACAUUACAGACUCAUAUUGACCCUGUAAACCAAGCUGGGAGAUGUUGAUCUAUGUGAACGACGAAAGAUGGCUGAAUCCUGACACUGCGUGCUAGGCUAUCCGCCUUCGUAUUUUGCGUUCUUGGGACAUGAAUAAUCUCUGAGCAUAUGAAAUUCUCUUGCAAAUUCUUGAUAUCCUCCAAAUAACUUGCAAAAGCUGGUCAUUCCUCUCGUUUCAUUUUUCAACUUCUAAUAUCUCACAUCAAACAAAAAAAUCAGUUUUAUUAACAACGUCUAGUCUAACCAUUUUUCAUGAUGGGACUAAACCUAUACUAACGAAAAUCCUUUUAUUAAUCCUUUUAAACAUGGUUUUAAUUGUUUAGAUUACUUGUGGACAUUCUCAUGAUCAAAACAAAAACAACCAUUAUGUAUAAACUACAGUUGCAAGUUAGCUUUUAUGAGAAAUAAACUAUCUUAUAUACUUGUAAUCAAAAUAAAUAUGACCAAUGCUCAUAUGCAAACAAUCAUGGGCUUUGUUUAUAAUGUAAAAAAAUGAUAUUUUUAUUAAAUAUUUCAUAUGUUCUAGAUCUUUGUUUAUGAUGUGAAAUGUCAUCUAUUAAUUAAUAUAUAUUUAUACUAAUUUUAUCCAGAUAAAUAUAUAUCCAUCAAUCCAAAUCAUUUUUAAAAUAGGAUGCCAAUAAUAUAUUUAGUAACAAGAAAUUAUUUUUACUAAAUCUUAACAAUGUAUUCAAAAAAAAAAAAAUUGAAAAUAUUUUUGGUUGACAAAUAAUAAUUUAUUAGAAUAUUCUCCCUAUAUAUUCUUUGAAACUUGGUUCCAAAUCUGAAUAUAUUUUUUAAUUAAGAUAAUGCAUUCUUUUAACAAAAUGUUUUAGCAAUAGUGUUUCCUAAAAACAUUUUUAUUUAUAUUUAAUUUAUUUGCUCGUGUGGGACAUGGCAUCUCUAAUCCAUUAUUGCACACUGUUAAUUCAUAUUUUCUUGGCCAUAGUUGACCAAAAAAAUUUGAAGCUCACACUUUUUACAUUACUAAGAGAAAAUGAUGUAACUAUGAACUCAAUCUUGAUUACUGGUCUAAUUAAAACGAUAUUUGAAACUCACACUCUUUACAUUAUUAAGAAAAAAAAGAUGAAUCUAUAAACUUGAAUCAUGUAUUUUAUGAGUUUAAAUGAGUAAAUAAACAAUAAUAAUAAUCUGGAGGAAAGUUUAUACAAACCUUCAAUUUUGUUUUUGUUGAGAAAUCAAACAUUAGAAAUAGAUGAUUUAGAAUUCAGUAAACCUCAAGAAAAACAAGACUCAUAUAUGGUAGGUAUAGUAGACCAAAAAUAAGAAGCAUAACCAUUCAAAAACACUAACUUCUUUUAAAUCCGCGCUUAGUGCGGGUUAAGAAUCUAGUUGUAAUUAAAAUCUUAUAUUUUGCGAUUUGUCUAUGUUUAUGCAUGAUACUUGACAACGUUCUGAAAUUUGACAGACUCACAUUUAAAAGAAAAAAUGCAGACUCAGAAUAACCAGCGGUGGUAGUCCAGUGGUGUUUGAGAGAAAUAAAUCCAAUACGGCAAACCAUGGUUAGAAUCCCGCUGGCCACACGGAUAUGGACUAUUGCUUUGCUUUCGGCUCAUUUAAAUGCCUAAAAAAGGGUCUAUCUGUUGGCUGUACCUCCAUCCGGGAGUUAGCUCUGUGUCUUUAAUAAACUCGGGUUUAACCUUUUAUUUAAAAAAAAAUGCAGACUCAAAAUAUUGCUUCCAAUUUUUUAAAAAGAUAUCUCAUACAAUCAUUAUAUUAUACAAUAAUAAUCAUAAGAGAUUCAUCGAUCUUUAUUUGUAACUCUUAUUAGGGGAAUACAAUUUGGCAAACAAAAAAAAACUCUGAUAAAAAAAAACUCUUAUUAGGGGAAAACAAAACAUCUUCGUGAUUUGGAUUUGUAUGACACAUGUUCUUGGAGCCACCACCCAUAUAGAUUUUGAUUUGAAUGACAACCGCCUUACUGUAUAAAGGUCUUAUAAUUAUUUGAGGGUUAUAAACUGGAAAGAUUCGCCGUCAUGCAUGUUGUUGCUUAGCCUAAUCUUCCUUAGUUCUCCAUCGCUGAUAGGCUUGUAUAGACGUGGAUGUUCAGCAUCCACAAAUUCACUUGGAGGCUCAAC
rnacentral:lncRNA from 1 species